GAUGAACGCUGGCGGCGUGCCUAAUACAUGCAAGUCGAGCGAACAGACGAGAGUGCUUGCACUCUCUGACGUUAGCGGCGGACGGGUGAGUAACACGUGGGUAACCUACCUAUAAGACUGGGAUAACUUCGGGAAACCGGAGCUAAUACCGGAUAAUAUUUAGCUUCGCAUGAAGCAAUAGUGAAAGACGGUUCUGCUGUCACUUAUAGAUGGACCCGCGGUGUAUUAGCUAGUUGGUGAGGUAACGGCUCACCAAGGCAACGAUACAUAGCCGACCUGAGAGGGUGAUCGGCCACACUGGGACUGAGACACGGCCCAGACUCCUACGGGAGGCAGCAGUAGGGAAUCUUCCGCAAUGGACGAAAGUCUGACGGAGCAAUGCCGCGUGAGUGAAGAAGGUUUUCGGAUCGUAAAACUCUGUUGUAAGGGAAGAACAGGUACGUUAGUAACUGAACGUACCUUGACGGUACCUUACCAGAAAGCCACGGCUAACUACGUG
rnacentral:rRNA from 1 species